UGGAGGAAAGCAGGGGAUCGCAAGACCUUGCGCUUUUGGAGUGGCCGAUGCCUGAUUAGCUAGUUGGUGGGGUAAUGGCCUACCAAGGCGACGAUCAGUAGUUGGUCUGGGAGGACGACCAGCCACACUGGGACUGAGACACGGCCCAGACUCCUACGGGAGGCAGCAGUGGGGAAUUUUGGACAAUGGGCGAAAGCCUGAUCCAGCAAUGCCGCGUGAGUGAAGAAGGCCUUCGGGUUGUAAAGCUCUUUCAGUCGAGAAGAAAAGGUUGUGACUAAUAAUCACAACUCAUGACGGUAUCGACAGAAGAAGCACCGGCUAACUACGUGCCAGCAGCCGCGGUAAUACGUAGGGUGCGAGCGUUAAUCGGAAUUACUGGGCGUAAAGGGUGCGCAGGCGGCUUUGUAAGUCAGAUGUGG
rnacentral:rRNA from 1 species